rnacentral:rRNA from 1 species
AUUGAACGCUGGCGGCAGGCCUAACACAUGCAAGUCGAGCGGAUGAAGGGAGCUUGCUCCUGGAUUCAGCGGCGGACGGGUGAGUAAUGCCUAGGAAUCUGCCUGGUAGUGGGGGAUAACGUCCGGAAACGGGCGCUAAUACCGCAUACGUCCUGAGGGAGAAAGUGGGGGAUCUUCGGACCUCACGCUACCAGAUGAGCCUAGGUCGGAUUAGCUAGUUGGUGGGGUAAAGGCCCACCAAGGCGACGAUCCGUAACUGGUCUGAGAGGAUGAUCAGUCACACUGGAACUGAGACACGGUCCAGACACCUACGGGAGGCAGCAGUGGGGAAUAUUGGACAAUGGGCGAAAGCCUGAUCCAGCCAUGCCGCGUGUGUGAAGAAGGUCUUCGGAUUGUAAAGCACUUUAAGUUGGGAGGAAGGGCAGUAAGUUAAUACCUUGCUGUUUUGACGUUACCAACAGAAUAAGCACCGGCUAACUUCGUG